AACCUCCGCAAUGUGAGAAAUCGCGACGGGGGGAUCCCAAGUGCCAUUCUUAACGGGAUGGCUUUUCAUUAGUGUAAAGAGCUUUUUGGAAUAAGGGCUGGGCAAGACCGGUGCCAGCCGCCGCGGUAACACCGGCAGCUCUAGUGGUAGCAGUUUUUAUUGGGCCUAAAGCGUCCGUAGCCGGUUUAAUAAGUCUCUGGUGAAAUCCUGUAGCUUAACUGUGGGAAUUGCUGGAGAUACUAUUAGACUUGAGACCGGGAGAGGUUAGAGGUACUCCCAGGGUAGAGGUGAAAUUCUGUAAUCCUGGGAGGACCGCCUGUUGCGAAGGCGUCUAACUGGAACGGUUCUGACGGUGAGGGACGAAAGUUGGGGGCGCGAACCGGAUUAGAUACCCGGGUAGUCCUAACCGUAAACGAUGCGGACUUGGUGUUGGGGUGGCUUUGAGCUGCUCCAGUGCCGAAGGGAAGCUGUUAAGUCCGCGCCUGGGAAGUACGGUCGCAAGACUGAAACUUAAAGGAAUU
rnacentral:rRNA from 1 species